CCCUUAGAUGUUCUGGGCCGCACGCGUGCUACACUGAUGCAUUCAACGAGUCUAAAACCUGGUCUGAUAGGGCUGGGUAAUCUUUUGAAAGUGCAUCGUGAUUGGGAUAGAUGAUUGCAAUUCUUCAUCUUCAACGAGGAAUGCCUAGUAAACGCAAGUCAACAGCUUGCGUUGAUUACGUCCCUGCCCUUUGUACACACCGCCCGUCGCUACUACUGAUUGGAUGUUUAAGCGAGGUUCUCGAACUGCUAGCGACUUAGCUUCGGUGAGGUCGCAGUGUGGGAAGUGAACCUAGCUUUGGUGUCUAGAGGAAGUAAAAGUCGUAACA
rnacentral:rRNA from 1 species